AUUGAACGCUGGCGGAAUGCUUUACACAUGCAAGUCGAACGGCAGCACGGGCUUCGGUCUGGUGGCGAGUGGCGAACGGGUGAGUAACAUAUCGGAACGUAUCCAAUAAUGGGGGAUAACUAAUCGAAAGGUUGGCUAAUACCGCAUACGCCCUACGGGGGAAAGCAGGGGAUCUUCGGACCUUGCGUUAAUGGAGCGGCUGAUAUCUGAUUAGCUAGUUGGUGAGGUAAAGGCUCACCAAGGCGACGAUCAGUAGCUGGUCUGAGAGGACGACCAGCCACACUGGAACUGAGACACGGUCCAGACUCCUACGGGAGGCAGCAGUGGGGAAUUUUGGACAAUGGGCGCAAGCCUGAUCCAGCCAUUCCGCGUGAGUGAAGAAGGCCUUCGGGUUGUAAAGCUCUUUCGCAAGGGAAGAAAACUUACUUUCUAAUAAAGAGUGAGGUUGACGGUACCUUGAUAAGAAGCACCGGCUAACUACGUGCCAGCAGCAGCCGCCG
rnacentral:rRNA from 1 species